UUUGAUCUCAGGUCGGGYGGGAGCACCCGCCCAAUUUAAGCAUAUAACUAAGCGGAGGAAGAGAAACCAACGAGGAUUCCCUUGGUAGCGGCGAGCGAACCGGGAAUAGCCCAGACUGAAAAUCCGGGGGCUGUGYUGCUCCCUGAAUUGUAGUCUUGAGAGGCAACCUCUGCAGCGGGCCGUGUGCAGGUUCCCUGGAAGCGGACGCCGAAGAGGGUGACAGCCCCGUCGACCGCCGGACCCUGCUGCGCAACGAGGUGUUGUCCAAGAGUCGGGUUGCUUGGGAAUGCAGCCCCAAUUGGGUGGUAAGUCCUAUCCAAGGCUAGAUAUGUUGGAGGGACCGAUAGCGAAGAAGUACAGCGAGGAAAGGAUGAAAAGAACUUUGAAAAGAGAGUUAAAUAGUGCUUGAAAUUGCCGAGCGAGAAGCGGAUGGAGGGGAAGUCGUGCACUCCCGUCUGGGCAAGGGUGGACUCCGAAUGUGUUGUCGCUUUCCUUGUUGGACGUGGGGCGCCUGCCAGCAUGGGCUGCUGUGACCGGCAUUGCGGUGGGGAGCGAUUAAAACCCCCCACGGGUGGCCGUCACGGCAGUCGAGGACCUUGAGCACGCGCCUCUUUCGGCGGGCCCGUUCGGGUUCCUGCGUGUUCAGGAUGCUGGUGAAAUUUCUCUAUCCUGCCUGUCUUGAAACACAGACCGAGGAGUUCAACAUGCAUGCGAGCCAAUGUGAUUAGCCCACGAGGCGGAAGAAACCUGAGUGGCGGGAACCCUCUGUGGGUGCACCGUCCGCCAACCACGAUCUAAUGUGAGAGGUUUGAGUGUGAGCAUGCCCGUUGGGACCCGAAAGAUGGUGAACUAUGCCUGAGCAGGGCGAGGCCAGAGGAAACUCUGGUGGAGGCUCGCAUCGAUACUGACGUGCAAAUCGUUCGUCGGACUUGGGUAUAGGGGCGAAAGACUAAUCGAACCGUCUGGUAGCUGGUUCCCUUCGAAGUUUCCCUCAGGAUAGCUGCAGUUGUUGAACAGUUUUAUCGGGAAAAGCGAAUGAUUAGAGGCCUCGGGGGUGAAACACCCUCGACCUAUUCUCAAACUUUAAAUAGGUAAGAUUUCGGGGUUGCUUAAGCGAACCCCGAGGAUCAAUGAAAGCUCSAAGUGGGCCAUUUUUGGUAAGCAGAACUGGCGAUGUGGGAUGAACCGAAAGUUGAGCUACGGUGACAAACUGCGCGCUAACCCAGACACCACAAAGGGUGUUGAUUGAUACAGACAGCAGGACGGAGGUCAUGGAAGUCGAAAUCCGCUAAGGAGUGUGUAACAACUCACCUGCCGAAUCAAUUAGCCCCGCAAAUGGAUGGCGCUGAAGCGCGCGACCUAUGCUCGGCCGUCGCAGCGAUUCUGAUGCGCGGGGCCUGCUGCGAAGCGUGGAGCGUGAGCCUAGGUGAAGCGCGUCCCGGUGCAGAUCUUGGUGGUAGUAGCAAAUAUUCAAAUGAGAACUUUGAAGACCGAAGUGGAGAAGGGUUCCAUGUGAACAGCGCUUGGACAUGGGUCAGUCGGCCCUAAGAGAUGUGGAAACCUUGUAUCAAGGGCGCACUGCGCGCCGCACUUUGAAAGGGGUUCUGUUUAAUAUUCCCGAACCGGGUUGUGGAGGUGGACGGUAACGUAAGCAGCUCCGGUGAUGCUGGCGGGGGCAGUGGGGCGGGUUGUCUUUCCUUCUUGACGGCUCGCCCACCCUGGAAUCGGAUCAACUGGAGAUAGGGUGCAGCGCCCGGCAAAGCACCGCGCGUCHUGUGGUGUCCAGCGCGCCCCCGACGGCCCUUGAAAAUCUGGAGCUGCGGGUACCUCUCACGCCCGACCGUCCUCAAAACCGUAUCAGGUUUCCUAGGUAAGCAGCCUCUGGUCAAAGGAAGAAUGUAGGUAAGGGAAGUCGGCAAUAUGGAUCCGUAASCUUGGGAAAAGGAUUGGCUCUGAGGGCUGGGCCGAGGGGUCUGCGCCUCGUUGUCGUUGGCUGCCGGUGGUCUGCCUGAGCUGCUCUCGCGGCGAGGGCGGAGCCCGCGUGCCACUGUGCCGACGGGCGUAGAAUGUCUUAUGUCCCCACCUUUCGGGUGGGGCUGUGGGUCUCUCCCUAAGCAUCAAACUGCCGACUCAAAACUGAUGCCGAAAAGGGGAAUCCGACUGUUUAAUUAARACAAAGCAUUGCGAUGGUCCCAACGGAUGUUGACGCAAUGUGAUUUCUGCCUAGUGCUCUGAAUGUCAUAGUGAAGAGAUUCAACCAAGCGCGGCUAAACGAUGGGAGUAACUAUGAAUCUCUUAAGGUAGCCAAAUGCCUCGUCAUCUWAUUAGUGACGCGCAUGAAUGGAUUAACGAGAUUCCCACUGUCCCUAUUUACCAUCCUGCGAAACCAUAGCGAGGGGAAUCAGCGGGGAAAGAAGACCCUGUUGAGCUUGACUCUAGUUCGACUCUGCGAAAGGACUUGACAGGUGUAGAAUAAGUGGGACCCUUACAGCGCAAGUGAAAUACCACUACUUUUAACAUUAUUUUACUUAUUUCGUGAGGUGGAGCCGGGGCUCUGCCCCUUCUUCUCGAUCCAAGGUACAGGCCCUCGUGGCCUGUCCGAUCCAAGCGAAAGACAUUGUCAGGUGGGGAGUUUGGCUGGGGCGGCACAUCUGUUAGAAGAUAACGCAGGUGUCNCCUGUCCGAUCCAAGCGAAAGACAUUGUCAGGUGGGGAGUUUGGCUGGGGCGGCACAUCUGUUAGAAGAUAACGCAGGUGUCGUAAGAUGAACUCAACGAGAACAGAAAUCUCGUGUGGAGCAAAAGGGCAAAAGCUUCCAGUACUAAUACAAACUGUGAGAGCAUGGCCUAUCGAUCCUUUAGCGUUUCAGGACUUGAAGCUAGAGGUGUCAGAAAAGUUACCACARGGAUAACUGGCUUGUGGCAGCCAAGCGUUCAUAGCGACGUUGGUUUUUGAUCCUUCGAUGUCGGCUCUUCCUAUCAUUGUGAAGCAGAAUUCACCAAGUGUUGGAUUGUUCACCCACCAAGAGGGAACGUGAGCUGGGCUUAGACCGUCGUGAGACAGGUUACGGGUCUUCCCUGCCUGCCCCUCGGCGAUCUUGCCCACCCGCCUCUUCGCUUGUUGGGGUGAGUCUUGGAGCUCGACCCUUGCAUUCGUGUGGAUGUGGAGGGCACGGGAGAGCCAUACAACUUAGUGUGGCAGAAUAGUUAGUAAUUAGCAUGUUGCAUGACAGGUCUGUGGAAAAAGGGUUGCCCUCACCCCAGUGGAAGAGAGCAACAAGGGGAAAGUCUAACGAUUCAGGCGUAUAGACUCCCCAAAGUUCU
rnacentral:rRNA from 1 species